rnacentral:rRNA from 1 species
UACGAAGGGGGCUAGCGUUGCUCGGAAUCACUGGGCGUAAAGCGCACGUAGGCGGCUUUCUAAGUCAGGGGUGAAAUCCUGGAGCUCAACUCCAGAACUGCCUUUGAUACUGGAGAGCUUGAGUCCGGGAGAGGUGAGUGGAACUCCGAGUGUAGAGGUGAAAUUCGUAGAUAUUCGGAAGAACACCAGUGGCGAAGGCGGCUCACUGGCCCGGUACUGACGCUGAGGUGCGAAAGCGUGGGGAGAAAACAGG